rnacentral:lncRNA from 1 species
CUGACCCUUCUCUGGGAGUGCGGCUGCCUGUGUAUCUGCUUCAUGACAGUACAAGCGUGAAGGCCACAGGAGAAAAAGAACAGGACCACACAGCCCAGACCAGCCUUGAAAGGCAUGACAUUGCAUACAGAGUGUAUCGGUUGCUUCUGAUUUCCGUGAUUUGAACCACUCUUUUAUUAUGGACUUCAAAGGGAAAGUGAGCAUAAGUUUAACUUCUGUGCUUUGGUUU